UGGGGAAUAUUGGGCAAUGGGCGAAAGCCUGACCCAGCGACGCCGCGUGAGGGAAGACGGUUUUCGGAUUGUAAACCUCUGUCUUCGGGGACGAAAAUGACGGUACCCGAGGAGGAAGCCACGGCUAACUACGUGCCAGCAGCCGCGGUAAUACGUAGGGGGCAAGCGUUAUCCGGAAUUAUUGGGCGUAAAGAGUGCGUAGGUGGUUACCUAAGCAGGGGGUGAAAGGCAUUGGCUUAACCAAUGUUAGCCCCCUGAACUGGGCUACUUGAGUGCAGGAGAGGAAAGCGGAAUUCCUAGUGUAGCGGUGAAAUGCGUAGAUAUUAGGAGGAACACCAGUGGCGAAGGCGGCUUUCUGGACUGUUACUGACACUGAGGCACGAAAGUGUGGGGAGCAAACAGGAUUAGAUACCCUGGUAGU
rnacentral:rRNA from 1 species